GGGCCAGAAAUGGUCAACUCUUUGGACACUCGUGAACAGGUGGUGCAUGGUUGUCGUCAGCUCGUGUCGUGAGAUGUUGGGUUAAGUCCCGCAACGAGCGCACCCUCGUUCUAUGUUGCCAGCGCAGUAAUGGCGGGAACUCAUAGGAGACUGCCGGGGUCAACUCGGAGGAAGGUGGCGAUGACGUCAAAUCAUCAUGCCCCUUAUGUCUUGGGCUUCACGCAUGCUACAAUGGCCGGUACAAAGGGCUGCAAUACCGUAAGGUGGAGCGAAUCCCAAAAAGCCGGUCUCAGUUCGGAUUGAGGUCUGCAACUCGACCUCAUGAAGUCGGAGUCGCUAGUAAUCGCAGAUCAGCAACGCUGCGGUGAAUACGUUCCCGGGCCUUGUACACACCGCCCGA
rnacentral:rRNA from 1 species